ACGCAGGGAAAAGAAAUAGAUUGUAUGACUUUCUUGCCCAAGAUAUGAUGAAGGUAUAAGGAAAAUUGUGAGACCAUCUCUCAUGGCAGUUCUUUGUCCGAGCGGUGGGAAGGACCAUUCCAGGUGCUGUUAACGACUCCAACAGCGGCGAGAGUCGGCAAAAGAUCAACCUGAGUACACGCAUCACACUGCAAAAGAGGUCCGAUCAGACCCGCCCCGGAGUGAACCCGAGGACAUCCUGCAGACCACCUCACCUGUGUUGCUCACAGGACCGUGACCACCAGAAAGGAUACAAUAAAGCCCCUGGUGAGUUGCCACCUAAGCCGGAAAGAAGCAGAGCUUCUCUACCCGUGAAGAGAAUGAAGAUACUUUGGAUCCUGUUCUCUGUCUUAACUCCUGUUAUGCUGGAGACUCACAUCACUGACUAUGGACAUGAAAUAAAAGGAAAGAAUGCUAUACUUGCCAUUCAUAAGGCCAUUGCAAGAGUUAACAAUGAGACUGACUGUUGGGUGUGUACACAUUUGCCAAUGAAUGCUGAAUCAGGGAUACCCUUAAUAGCCAUUCAGGUAACUUGGGAAGAAGCCAUGAGAUUUGAUUGGGUACACUGGGAAGAUAAUUUUUCCAGAACCAAUUAUAGUGCCAGAAUUAGACCUCAGAGAAGAAUAAACUCCCCUCUUAGCAAUAGUAUCCAGAGUGGGACAGCCUGCCAUUUGUGUGGUUCAUAAUGAUUUAGCUCAAGGAGCACUAGAUGAUGGUGGGACAAGGUCCAUGCGUAUAGACAACAGACAGAAGAUGGGGAAAGAUAUACAUUUAGGGAUAUUUAUGGUAAUGUCAAUAACUCCAUGUUUAGAACUUGGGAAGAACGAGUGGACAUUCAUGACCGGAAGCCUUAUAGUACAUCAGGUAACAUCACUCACUUCUUCCUCAGGUAGGGGUAGGAAUUUUGUCAGAAAGACUAGGAGCGUACACUCAUUAUAUGGAUAAAAUAAUAAAUGAAACUAGCCAUGCCAUACGAGAAAUGAAUGAAGAGUUGGCUCAAGUGCGUAAAGUGGUGCUACAAAAUAGGUUCGCAUUAGACCAAGUGCUGGCAUCAGAGGGAGGAACAUGUGCCUUGAUAGGACAGGAGUGUUGCACUUACAUUGCAGACAAUUUAGAUAUAGUGGAAGGACACAGAGAAGUGGAAAAGAUGCAGGAAGGAAUAAGGAAGAUAGGAGGAGAAGGAAGUUAUCCGUUUGGAUUCUUAGGUAGAGGUAUAUCAGCACUGAUAGCCGGAUUGUUGCAGUAUGUAGUAAUUGGAGGAUUGGUAUUAUUACUUUUUACCUGUGUUUGAAAUGUUUGCCAAUGAUCGUUAGUAAGGGGUGUCAGAGUAGUUCCAAAUCUGCAAUGGGUCCACUUCCCUCUGCUCUUCCACCCCCUGUGUACGUUCCGAUGUCCAGAGGGGUGAUGCCCCCUAGUCAACAUUUUCUGCCGUUGGAGCCUGAAAUACCUUCUGUUAAUACCUUUCAGAUCCUUCGAGCAAGUGGCAUAGGUGACCAAAGGGCCAUUUAUGAAAAAGUGGAUAGUUGUGUGUGACAAAGGGAAUUUGUCAGAGGGAGGAAUUGUCAGAGAAAUUUGGACCCCUUAUACUGGGACUGAAUGUCUAUAGGGUUAAAACGCUUGAUGUAUCAAUAUAUUCCUUGUUUGCAGUAAAACAUAUAUUCUGAACCAUGUAUAAGAAGUGUUCUGUUCUCAUCUGCACCUGCUUUCUGUUAAUUGUGCUUUAUGUGCAUGACCUACUGAUAAAGGCCCCUUUCUGUAAUUAAGGGACUUAGAGUGGUGUAUAGUGCUUUAUUACUAACUUGUGGCCCCUAAGUGACUGCCCGGGGCCGUUCCUGGCUCAUAAUUAUGAAUAAGUAUUGUAUUUGGAUGACAGUAAUAAAGACGAACUAUGUCCCAUGUCACGUAAGCCAUUUCUGAUGUAAUGUGUAUUUUAUGCUAUAUAAACCGUGAUGACUGUAACACAAAUUGUCUCACUGAGCCUGCGUGCUCUGUUGACACCCAUCUGGGCCUAGAUGCACAAUAAACCAUAUAUGCUUUUUCUUCUGA